AGUGAUUACAUUAAAAUAUUAUUUUAAUAUAUAAACUCUUUGUCAUAGUGGUUUUAGAGUAGCGUUUGUUUAAUAUUACGUUUAUAUAAAUUAAAAAACGAGAAUUCUGUAUACAUAUUGUUUAUUUUUAAGUAUAUAAGAUACACAUUUAUAUUUUCAUCUUGUUAUAUCUCCUUAUAAACGUGAAGGAAGCGACACAAUUUUUUUUAACGAUUAUAUUUUUAUAAGUGUAUCUUACAAUAAAAUCAACAUCAAAAAUAAGCAGAAUUUAGAGGGAUAGAAAAAAAAAAAAAUUAAAUUAAAUUAAGUUCUUCUCGAAAACUAAGCACCUCGAGGAAGAAUCAAAGCAUUACCUAUAUAAAAGGAUAUAUUUUUUGCAUUAUAAUAUUUAUCUAUUUGUUUUAUCUGUUUGCGUAAUUGUUAAUCCCACUUUGUGCAUUAUUUUUUAUUUUUUUAUCUUAUGUGAUUAUCGUACAAAAUAACAAAAAAAAAAAAAAAAAGGAGCAUAUAUAAAUGUCGAAAUAAUAAUUUAGUUUGUUAUUAAAAAUAUUAUUUAUGUAUCUUAUAAAAAAUGAUAUAUAUAUAUAUAUGUAUAUAUAUAUAUAUAUAUUUAUAAAAAGCCUGAAUCGUAAAAAAUUUGACAUUAAGUUAAGCAAAAUUUUUGUGCUUGUUUUUUAACAAAAUUAUGACAAAUUGGGGGGUUUCAAUUUCACAC